UAACAAAUUGUUGUUGGCUUAUUUGCCAAAAGAGCUUGAAUUUUGUUGUUGUUUUAAGUCACUGACCACAUAAACAAAUUCAAAAAAGAAAUAACAAAGUAAACAAAAAGUGGAAAAAAAUCAUAAUAACGGUGAUCAUUAUAAGCAGAGGGAAUUUAUAUUUACAAGAAAAAUGCGGUUCCAAUAAAGCUGGAGGAAAUCAUCUGGACUUCAUAACUUACAUACAUACAUAUGUAUGUAUAUUAUUUUGGAUCCCAAGACUAAAGUUUAAAUAAAUUGGUCCAAUAUUUAGUGAGCGGGGUCAAAGGACAAAAAAUUUAGGAAAUAAUAUCUUAGAAUGAACUAAAUUUUCGUUCAGAACAUCACCAACUUAUAUGUACAUAUGUAUGUAUGUACAUACAUACACAUUUAAUUUUUCACCUGCCCACAAUUAAACUUUUUGUAGAUACAAAUGCGACCAAGGAUAAUAUUUAAUUUAAUUAUCAUAGAAAUUUAAAGAAAAAAUCUACCUUUGGACUAUAAAAAGCUGAAAUACAAAUGCAG